rnacentral:rRNA from 1 species
UUCCAGCUCCAAUAGCGUAUACUAAUGUUGUUGUGGUUAAAAAGCUCGUAGUUGUAGCUGGGUCAAGAAACCUCAUGUGCAAGCACACGAGGUGGUAGUUGAUUGGAAGGAAAGGCAAGCCAAUUGACUUUCAAAGGUUGAUUGAGCUGGGUCUGUGUUUACUUUGAAAAAAUAAGAGUGCUAAAGGCAGACUAGAAGUUGGAAUAGUCGUGCAAGGAAUAAUAUAACAAGGAGUUGUGUUUGUUAUGUUGGUCUCUACCAGAACCCAAUGAUAAAUAGAGAUUGUCGGGGGCAUAUGUAUUCAAGCGCUAGAGGUGAAAUUCUUGGACCGUUUGAAGACAUCCAAAAGCGAAAGCAUAUGCCAAGUAUGUUUUCUUUAAUCAAGAACGAAAGUUAGAGGAUCGAAGGCGAUUAGAUACCGCCCUAGUUCUAACCAUAAACGAUGCCGACCAGUAAUCUGGGACAUGUCUAUCGACGUGGCUUCAGGCGACCUUUGGAAACUAAAGUCAUUUGGUUCCAGGGGGAGUAUGGUUGCAAAGCUGAAACUUAAAGUAAUUGACGGAAGGGCACCACCAGGAGUGGAGCUUGUGGCUUAAUUUGACUCAACACGGGAAAACUUACCAGGCCAGAACACUAGAAGGAUUGACAGACUAAGGGCUCUUUCUUGAUUUGGUGGUUGGUGGUGCAUGGCCGUUCUUAGUUGGUGGAGUGAUUUGUCUGGUUAAUUCCGAUAACGAACGAGACUCUCACUUGCCAAUAAGGACACUGUUUCCAAAUUGAAGCUGGGCGGAAACAAACACUCAUCUUGAAGAUGUGUGCCUUCUUGGAAGGGUUAGUUAAAGAAAGUAGCUAAAGAAAGAGCAAUAACAGGUCUGUGAUGCCCUUAGAUGUUCUGGGCCGCACACGUGCUACAAUUGAAUAGUCAAUCUGUACCUGGGUCGAAAGAACUAGGCAAACAGUUAAACUAUUCAACAGUCGGGAUUGUCGCUUGAAAUUGUUCGACAUGAACCUGGAAUUCCUAGUAAAGGCCAGUCAAUAGCUGGUCUUGAUUGAGUCCCUGCCCUU